rnacentral:rRNA from 1 species
GUGGGGAAUUUUGCGCAAUGGGCGAAAGCCUGACGCAGCAACGCCGCGUGUGUGACGAAGGCCCUAGGGUUGUAAAGCACUGUGGGAAGGGAAGAAAAAACGGGGGUUGUACCCCGUCUUGACGGUACCUUGUUAGAAAGCACCGGCUAACUCCGUGCCAGCAGCCGCGGUAAUACGGAGGGUGCAAGCGUUGUUCGGAAUUAUUGGGCGUAAAGGGCGUGUAGGUGGCUUGCCAAGUCUGGUGUGAAAGCCCACGGCUCAACCGUGGAACUGCAUUGGAAACUGGCAAGCUCGAGUGUUGGAGGGGGUCGCGGAAUUCCCGGUGUAGAGGUGAAAUUCGUAGAUAUCGGGAGGAACACCAGUGGCGAAGGCGGCGACCUGGCCAAUCACUGACACUGAGACGCGAAAGCGUGGGGAGCAAACAGGAUUAGAAACCCUAGUAGUCC